rnacentral:rRNA from 1 species
GACAGAGGGGGCAAGCGUUGCUCGGAAUCACUGGGCGUAAAGGGCGCGUAGGCGGGAUGGCAAGUCGGUCGUGAAAUCCCUGGGCUCAACUCAGGGGGGUCGGCCGAUACUGCCGUUCUUGAGGGAUGCAGAGGAGACUGGAAUUCCCGGUGUAGCGGUGAAAUGUGUAGAGAUCGGGAGGAACACCGGUGGCGAAGGCGGGUCUCUGGGCAUUUCCUGACGCUGAGGCGCGAAAGCGUGGGGAGCAAACGGG